rnacentral:rRNA from 1 species
ACAUACGGCCAUAGGGUGUGGAAAACAGGGCUUCCCGUCCGCUCAGCCGUACUUAAGCCACACGCCGGGAGGUUAGUAGUUGGGUGGGUGACCACCAGCGAAUCCCUUCUGUUGUAUGUU